rnacentral:rRNA from 1 species
UAGGGAAUCUUCGGCAAUGGACGAAAGUCUGACCGAGCAACGCCGCGCGAGUGAAGAAGGUUUUCGGAUCGUAAAACUCUGUUGUUAGAGAAGAACAAGGACGUUAGUAACUGAACGUCCCCUGACGGUAUCUAACCAGAAAGCCACGGCUAACUACGUGCCAGCAGCCGCGGUAAUACGUAGGUGGCAAGCGUUGUCCGGAUUUAUUGGGCGUAAAGCGAGCGCAGGCGGUUUCUUAAGUCUGAUGUGAAAGCCCCCGGCUCAACCGGGGAGGGUCAUUGGAAGCUGGGAGACUAGAGUGCGGAAGAGGAGAGUGGAAUUCCAUGUGUAGCGGAGAUAUGCGUAGAUAUAUGGAGAAACCCCAGUGGCGAAGGCGGCUCUCUGGUCUGUAACUGACGCUGAGGCUCGAAAGCGUGGGGAACAAACAGG